UCAGCUGUCAAUUGUCUCCACCACAAAAUGCCCAGCACAUGGAGAUUCGUUGUUUCAGGUCCCACUAUUCACAGCCUACUUAUCUAUAUGAUGAUGGCAAAGACACAUUUGGAGAAAUUAUCUCUAAAUAUGUGGAGAGAACAGAACUUUUGAAACAUGCAAUUGGAGAAGGAAAGUGACCCUAAUGAUCUUUAAUGUCAAUCUUGAUGAUGAUGGGCAAUAUCACUUCAUCUUCAAAAAUUGCAAGUUAUAUGCAUAGGACAUUACAUAAGUUGAAGUCGCAGGGAACUCCUGGGAUCAAAUUCUUGUUCAUUUUCCUACUACCAAAUGUGUAAUCAUGGAGUGUCACUUUGCAAGUUGGUUCCCACAGCCUCACUUAGAAUGGAGAGACAGCAGAGGAUAGGUCAUUCCAGAUGCACCAAAAUCCCAUUCAUAGGACUGAAAUAAACUGUUCAAUAUGAAAAUAACCCUGCUCCUUAUAGACAACUACUUCAAGAAUCUCACUUUUUACCUUUGGAACCUGCUAACAGGCCAAAGGGAAAGCACAAGCAUUGUUCUACCAG
rnacentral:lncRNA from 1 species